rnacentral:rRNA from 1 species
UACGGAGGGGGCUAGCGUUGUUCGGAAUUACUGGGCGUAAAGCGCACGUAGGCGGCUUUGUAAGUUAGAGGUGAAAGCCCGGGGCUCAACUCCGGAAUUGCCUUUAAGACUGCAUCGCUUGAAUCCGGGAGAGGUGAGUGGAAUUCCGAGUGUAGAGGUGAAAUUCGUAGAUAUCAAGCGGAACACCGGUGGCGAAGGCGGCCUUCUGGACAGUGACUGACGCUGAGACGCGAAAGCGUGGGGAGCAAACAGG